AAAUAGGGAAUAGUUAAAUAAAUUAUAAUCGAGGCUUGCGCAUGGAAAUAUUGUGAUGUUAAAGAAGGGGCAUAAAACGUUGCUAGCUUGGCUGUUAAAAAUGGCAUUUUCGAGAAUGGUGGUUGUUGAUCUUGGAGUUUUUACCCGUUCGAAGAUUAUCGAGGCAGCUGUUUGGUGUCCGUAGAAAUUGACUCUUCUCCUCUAUAUGUCAGUUUUGCUUAUAUUGUUCUACCUUCUUAGACAUUUUCAGACUAUGUUAUUGUAUAGAUGCUCGUGUUCUCAGUGACACCCAGAUUUUGAAAAAGUUUGUAUUCGAGUCGAAGUUGUCCAUAUCAGCUAUUUAUGAGAGUUAUUACUGUUAAACUUACUUCAUAUUAUUUUUGAUAUAAAAUGCUAAGUUUUAGUGUGA